UUGAUUCAUUUGUUUAUGAUUCCACUCAGACAUGCUAUAAAAAAGAUACAAGAGUUUGGGUCCCCCGGCGGGCGCCUGGUUCCGGCGGCCCUCGCGGGCCUUCCGGGGCGUUAACCCGCCGAAGCAACGUUGGGUAUGUUCACAGGGGUUUGGGAGUUGAUAACUCGGUAAUGAUCCCUCCGCUGGUUCACCAACGGAGA
rnacentral:misc_RNA from 1 species